rnacentral:rRNA from 1 species
AUGGCAAAAGGAUGGGAUUCGUUAGCUCGCUAUUUAGUACGAAUUUGUGAAAUGAGGGAAUCCAUCAAAAUAAUUCAACAAUCUGUAGAAACUUUCCUGGAGGACCUUAUGAGAAUUUAUAAGUCCAACGCUUCAAGAAAGAAAAUAAUUCUGAAUGGAAUGAUUUUGAGUAUAAAUUUCUUGGUAAAAAACCUUCGGCCAAUUUUGAAUUGUCAAGACAAGAGCUUUAUGUAA